UUGGAUGAUGAGGGAACACAGCAAAUGGUGCUUAUGUCUUCCCUCUCUCUCCAAGUAUGCUGUGUAGAAUGAAGACUCAAGCCAGGUCACAAAUAGACCCUAUCAGAGCCUCAAGGUACUUGUAUGUGUUGCCAAUCAUAAACAGAACUCUUUACUUCAUGUUUAAAGCCCACAUGAUGGAUUUGCAAGAUGCCAUUUUAAGCACUAUCAAGGGUGUCUUAUGAACAGAGGCUUGGUUCCAGUGGGCUCCUUUUCUUCAUGCACUUGGAUGAAAUGGAAAUUUUCACAGUGUCGCACUCUUCUGGAGAACCCGAUCUGAUGAUAGCUUUACAGAUAUAUCCAUCCUCUUCUGGACAGAUGGGAUCAUCUCCAGUCCCAGAAUUUCAGUAAGUUUGUGAUUUUCUGCUUUAAUGAUGAAAUGGGCCAAGAACAACACUAAGUAGGAGACUUGAAGCUAUACUUCCC
rnacentral:lncRNA from 1 species